UACGAAGGGGGCUCGCGUUGUUCGGAUUUACUGGGCGUAAAGCGCGUGUAGGCGGGUCGUUAAGUUGGGGGUGAAAUCCCGGAGCUCAACUCCGGAACUGCCUUCAAAACUGGCGGCCUGGACUCAAGAAGAGGCAAGUGGAAUUGCGAGUGUAGAGGUGAAAUUCGUAGAUAUUCGCAGGAACACCAGUGGCGAAGGCGGCUUGCUGGGCUUGUAGUGACGCUGAGACGCGAAAGCGUCGGGAGCAAACAGG
rnacentral:rRNA from 1 species